AGAGUUUGAUCAUGGCUCAGGACGAACGCUGGCGGUACGCUUAACACAUGCAAGUCGAACGGGAUCUUCGGAUCCAGUGGCGCACGGGUGAGUAAUGUACAGGAAUCUGCCUCUAGGUGGGGGAUAGCUCGGUGAAAACUGAAUUAAUCCCGCAUAAUGCCCUCGGGUGAAAGUCGCAAGACGCCAAGAGAUGAGCCUGUAUCUGAUUAGCUAGUUGGUAGGGUAAAGGCCUACCAAGGCGACGAUCAGUAGCUGGUUUGAGAAGAUGAUCAGCCACAGUGGAACUGAGACACGGUCCACACUCCUACGGGAGGCAGCAGUGGGGAAUAUUCCGCAAUGGGCGAAAGCCUGACGGAGCGAUACCGCGUGUAGGAUGAAGGCUUUAGGGUCGUAAACUACUGUCGACGGGGAAGAAAAAAAUGACGGUACCCGUAAAGGAAGCACCGGCUAACUCUGUGCCAGCAGCCGCGGUAAGACAGAGGGUGCAAGCGUUGUCCGGAUUUAUUGGGCGUAAAACGUCUGUAGUCGGUUUAUUAAGUCUGGGGUUAAAUGGCUUGGCUCAACCAAGUCCUGCCUUGGAUACUGAUGAACUAGAGUGUGUCAGGGGUUAGUGGAAUUCCCGGUGUAGCGGUGGAAUGCGUAGAUAUCGGGAGGAACUCCAGUGGCGAAGGCGACUA
rnacentral:rRNA from 1 species